rnacentral:tRNA from 1 species
GAGCCCAUGGCUCAAUGGUUGAGCGUUGGACUCAAAAACCAAAGGUCGCGGGUUCGAAUCCCAGGUGUGCCA